rnacentral:rRNA from 1 species
CUGCGGUAUGACAGAACUGUGGGGACACGUAAGGAAAGCGGAAGCCGGGAAUGGAAAGCCCGGUGCAAGCGGGGUACCAGCCACUUUGGCAAAUCCGGGUGGCAAUGGGAAGCCGUGAUGCGGAGCGAAAAAAGUAGCGAAGUCCGUGAGCCAUGCGUCGAGAAAAGCCGCUAUUGUUUAUACCGUACCCGUACCGUAAACCGACACAGGUGGAUGAGGAGAGAAUCCUAAGGCCGGCGGAAGAAGCAUUGUCAAGGAACUCGGCAAAAUGGCCCCGUAACUUAGGGAUAAGGGGUGCCUGGGAAACCAGGCCGCAGAGAAUAGGCUCAAGCAACUGUUUAGCAAAAACACAGGUCUAUGCGAAACCGAAAGGUGAGGUAUAUGGGCUGACGCCUGCCCGGUGCUGGAAGGUUAAGAGGAGAGGUUAGCGGUAACGCGAAGCUUUGAAUUUAAGCCCCAGUAAACGGCGGCCGUAACAAUAACGGUCCUAAGGUAGCGAAAUUCCUUGUCGGGUAAGUUCCGACCCGCACGAAAGGCGUAAUGAUUUGAGCGCUGUCUCGACAAUGCAUCCGGUGAAAUUGAAGUACCAGUGAAGAUGCUGGUUACCUGCGCCAGGACGGAAAGACCCCAUGGAGCUUUACUCCAGUCUGGUACUGGGACUCGGUAUUGCAUGUACAGGAUAGGUGGGAGGCUAGGAGAUGGUAACGCCAGUUGCCAUGGAGCCGCUGUUGGGAUACCACCCUUGCAGUAUUGGGUUUCUAACCAGCCGCCGUGACCCGGCGGUGGGACAAUGCCAGACGGGGAGUUUGACUGGGGCGGUCGCCUCCGAAAGGGUAUCGGAGGCGCCCAAAGGUUCCCUCAGAAUGGACGGAAACCAUUCGAAGAGUGCAAAGGCAGAAGGGAGCUUGACUGCGACACCGACGGGUGGAGCAGGUACGAAAGUAGGGCUUAGUGAUCCGGUGGUAUUAAGUGGGAAUGCCAUCGCUCAACGGAUAAAAGCUACCCUGGGAUAACAGGCUUAUCACUCCCAAGAGUUCACAUCGACGGAGUGGUUUGGCACCUCGAUGUCGGCUCAUCGCAUCCUGGGGCUGUAGUAGGUCCCAAGGGUUGGGCUGUUCGCCCAUUAAAGCGGUACGCGAGCUGGGUUCAGAACGUCGUGAGACAGUUCGGUCCCUAUCCGGCGUGGGCGUAGGAUAUCUGAGAGGAGCUGUCCUUAGUACGAGAGGACCGGGAUGGACGGGCCGCUGGUGCAUCGGUUAGACUGCCAAGUCUACGGCCGAGUAGCCAAGCCCGGAAGGGAUAAACGCUGAAGGCAUCUAAGCGUGAAGCCCCCCUUAAGAUGAGAUAUCCCAUUCGUUAAGAAGUAAACCCCCUUGAAGACGACGAGGUAGAUAGGGCAGAGGUGGAAGUGCAGCAAUGCAUGGAGCUGACUGUUACUAAUCGGGUGAGGGCUUGACC